GCUGAGAUCAAUGAGCUGAAGAAGAGAGAAUUAGUGAUGUAUAAGACCAAACAAUGGAGAAUAAUGAGGCUGUGAAAAAGAGAGAUAAACAACUACUGGACAAUGAGGGGAGAAUUCAGGAGAUAAGUGAUACUAC